rnacentral:rRNA from 1 species
UACGGAGGGUGCAAGCGUUAUCCGGAUUCACUGGGUUUAAAGGGUGUGUAGGCGGGUAUUUAAGUCAGUGGUGAAAUCUCCAGGCUCAACCUGGAAACUGCCAUUGAUACUAUUUAUCUUGAAUAUUGUUGAGGUAGGCGGAAUAUAUCAUGUAGCGGUGAAAAUGCUUAGAUAUGAUAUAGAACACCGAUCGCGAAGGCAGCUUACUAAAACAAUCAUUGACGCUGAGGCACGAAAGCGUGGGGAUCAAACAGG